CGGCUUUCGGUUCGGAGGAGGCAACGGUGCAACUUUCUUCGGUCGUCCCGAAUCCGGGUUCAUCCGACACCAGCCACCUCCACCAUGCCGCCCAAGUUCGACCCCAACGAGAUCAAAGUCGUGUACUUGAGGUGCACCGGAGGCGAGGUCGGCGCCACAUCAGCCUUGGCCCCUAAGAUCGGUCCUCUGGGUCUGUCUCCCAAAAAAGUUGGUGAUGACAUCGCCAAGGCUACCGGUGACUGGAAAGGCCUCAGGGAUGACAGUGAAACUGACCAUCCAGAACAGACAGGCCCAGACUGAGGUGGUGCCCUAUGCCUCUGCCCUGAUCAUCAAAGCCCUCAAGGAGCCACCAAGAGACAGGAAGAAGCUAAACUCAUUUCUGAGAAAGACCCACUUCACUAAUUCUCUUGGGAACAGAGUAAUUAUGAAACAGAGAGAAAUAGUGCAUGGAGACUAUGAUAUUGUUCACAUGUGGAAUUUCUCACAACGCCUUGGGAUUAAGGUGAAGAUAGGACAAUUCAGCCCACAUUUUCCACAGGGUCAACAGUUACACUUAUAUGUAGACAUGACUGAGUUGGCUACAGGAAGUAAAAAGAUGCCAUCCUCAGUGUGCAGUGCAGAUUGUCAUCCUGGAUUCAGAAGAAUCUGGAAGGAGGAAAUGGCAGCCUGCUGUUUUGUUUGCAACCCCUGCCCUGAAAAUGAAAUUUCUAAUGAGACGAAUAUGGAUCAGUGUGCGAAUUGUCCAGAAUACCAGUAUGCCAACACAGAAAAGAACAAAUGCAUUCAGAAAGGUGUGAUUGUUCUAAGCUAUGAAGACCCCUUGGGGAUGGCUCUUGCCUUAAUAGCAUUCUGUUUCUCUGCAUUCACAGUGGUGGUAUUUUGGGUCUUCGUGAAGCACCAUGACACUCCUAUUGUGAAGGCCAAUAACAGAAUCCUCAGCUACCUAUUAAUCGUGUCACUCAUGUUCUGUUUUCUGUGCUUCUAUUUCUUCAUUGGCUAUCCUAACAGAUUAACCUGUAGCUUACAGCAAAUCACAUUUGUAAUUGACUUUACUGUGGCUAUUUCCACAGUUCUGGCCAAAACAAUCACUGUGGUUCUAGCUUUCAAAAUCACAGACCCAGGAAGACGAUUAAGAAACUUUUUAGUAUUGGGGACACCCAACUACAUUAUUCCCAUAUGUUCCCUAUUGCAAUGUAUUCUGUGUGCAAUCUGGCUAGCAGUUUCUCCUCCCUUUGUCGAUAUUGAUGAACACUCUGAGCAUGGCCACAUCAUCAUUGUGUGCAACAAGGGCUCCGUUACUGCAUUCUACUGUGUCCUGGGAUACUUGGCCUGCCUGGCCUUUGGAAGCUUCACUAUAGCUUUCUUGGCAAAGAACCUGCCUGACACAUUCAAUGAAGCCAAGUUCUUGACCUUCAGCAUGCUAGUGUUCUGCGCUGUCUGGGUCACCUUCCUCCCUGUCUACCAUAGCACCAAGGGCAAGGUCAUGGUUGCUGUGGAGAUCUUCUCCAUCUUGGCAUCUAGUGCAGGGAUGCUGGGAUGCAUCUUUGCACCCAAAGUCUACAUCAUUUUAAUGAGACCAGACAGAAAUUCGAUCCACAAAAUCAGGGAGAAAUCAUAUUUCUGA